GUCAAAGGCUGCGUCCGAAAUCGAAUACUUCUCUACUAUAUAGUAUGGAAAAAGCAGUAUGCGACAAAUUAGUAUGUUUGAAUCAUUUGCGUUCAUAAAAGAGUAGGCGAGAAUUGCAAUAACUCUCGCGAGAUUCAGUUGUACGUAUACUUAAUUUUCGUUCUAAUAUGCCUACUCACCUACUGUAUAGUAGGGAAAAAGAGUAUGUGAAGAAAGAAGUACGUUCGAAACCUUGAACCAUAAAACAGUAGGCAAGUAAUCCCCGGAUGUCCUACUGCUUCAGCCAAGAUUCUGAAGGGUUCAACGAGGGAUACUUUUCAAUCCCAGAAUGCCACGCGGAAAGGAUAAAUCCUCAUCGAACGUGAAAGAGAGCAGCGUAGAGGGUGUUUACAAAGGGACAGAUGAGACACGUGUGUUUAUCUGCUGCAGAGAGACUGAUGAAGAAAUGAUGCUGUCAAAGACUUUCAAUCUUUUGUGGUGGAGCAGGUGACAGCAGCAUCUGUGGAAAAAACCUGAAAGAAAAAUCUAAACAGGAGAAAACUUGACCAACAUCACCUUUUAUGUUCAGGCAAAGGAUUGAACAGAAUGGAGG